GGAACCAUGAGAUCAUGACCUGAGCCCAACUCAGAUGUUUAACUGACUGAGCCACCCAGGUGCCCAACCCAGACCCUCAACCCCCCAACCCUCCUCCAGCCUUAGGCAAGCACCAGUAUAUCCUUUCCGUCUCAAUAGAUUUGCCUAUUCUGGACAUUUCAUAGCAAUAGAAUCAUGUAAUAUGUGGUAUUUUGUGACAGGCUUCAAAAUUAUCUCUAACAGAGAAAUAUACCAACCUACAUUUGAGUCCAAAACAUGAUUGGCAGAAACCAAAGAUGGAGACGGAGAAUUUAGAAGUUGUUGCUUAACCUUGGAGCCUCCGUUGUCUCGGGUUGCUGAUUCCUACCUCACAAGGCUGUGGUGAGGAUGUGAAGGUCCAGCCCAGGCCUGGCCCCCAACUGCUCAGCAGAGGGGACCCUCUCGAGUGAGAUGGAGGUCUAGUGAUAAGACCAACUGUGGAACAGCCUCAGAUCAAAGUAAUCUUCUGAAUCAGUGGCUGCUGUGACUUUCAAAAAGUUAAACCACAAACUAGGGUUAUGUAAGGGGUGUUUUCCCUGCCUCUCACCCAGGAGGUUGUGUCCGGGUGCCAAAGUCAGCAAAGCAGUGCUCUAGGCUCUUUCUUGCAGAAGAGGUACAGGAAUGUUCAGUCCCAUUCAGAUGGCUCCUGCUGCCCAAGAGAGAGGAGACCCUCUAGGGACCCCGCUCUCCUCUGCAUUCCCAGAUUUCUCCUGACUGUUGCCCAGGCCUCUCCUGAUCUCUCUGCAGGCCUGAACUGCUGCCUGCCAGGUCUCUGCUGGCAGCUACACAUGCCAAGGCGGAAGGCGUCUUACCUGUUCCACGUGAGCAGGGUGUUGUUGUUGCUACUACAGCAACAGCUUCAUUUUACCUCCCUGCGAAAAGUUCUACCACCAGGAACCCUCUCCUUCCGCUCUGUUCAGAUCCCUGCUUGUCCCCAGUGUGGGGCACGGUGGGAGGCCCGGAACCCAGGUCAGCAACUGACCCUCCGCCCCAGGCUGUGUCUAGGGUGGAGAUGCUCAGUGGCCACUUUUCCUGGCUCAGCCCUUGACAGGAAUGCCAGGAGCCUACCCCUUCUUUUGCCCUCCCCACAGGGAAUGAGGUCCCAUGGGAUCUUUCUCUGCUUGGCCCACACACUCAGGCCAUAGGACCGACACCCCCCAUCCCCACCAUAACAUCAGUAGUCUGGGGCUUUCCUGACAGUUGCAGGACAGAGUCUGGGGUCUCAAGCGAGAGGAAGGAGUGGAGUUCUGCCUUCCACCUUCCUGGCCCCCCCUCCCUAACCCGUGUAGCAGUUAGCUGAGGUCUGGGAAUGGAGGAGGCUGGGGCGGGGGCUGAGGUGGAGGGGAGGCUGAAGAGGAGAGGGAGAGGGAGAGGGAGAGGGAAAGGUCCUGAGAACUUCCCUUCCCUGAACUGUAUCCAACGAGGUGUGACUCCAGCCUCCCGGGAGAGGAAUGUAGUGGCUGCCAGAGAACAGUCACCGGAGCUGUGGAACAGCACCCCCGGGGCGGGGCGGGUUCGCAAAGCAGGCUGAGACCAGGGCUCAAGAUCUUUGGAGAAAAGGACUACUAUUCAUCCCCAAAUGAGGAGGGCAGGCUGACUGGAAUGGAAAAGAGUUGACCUGGACCUGCUGGUUGGAGUUGCUGGUUCCUUUCAGUCACGCUCAUGUUGACUAUUGGCCUCAUGUGGCUUGUGACUAGAACCUACAUCAAGAAGGAAAAUUCUC